UACAGAGGUCUCAAGCGUUGUUCGGAUUCAUUGGGCGUAAAGGGCGCGUAGGCGGCGGGGUAAGUCGGGUGUGAAAUCUCAGAGCUCAACUCUGAAACUGCACUCGAUACUGCUCUGCUUGAGGACUGGAGAGGAGACUGGAAUUCACGGUGUAGCAGUGAAAUGCGUAGAUAUCGUGAGGAAGACCAGUGGCGAAGGCGGGUCUCUGGACAGUUCCUGGCGCUGAGGCGCGAAGGCCAGGGGAGCAAACGGG
rnacentral:rRNA from 1 species